CUGCCGGGACGACCCGGCUAUGAACGGGUAUUUGCCAGGACGACCUGC
rnacentral:ncRNA from 1 species